GGUCCGCGUCCCAUCAGCUAGUUGGUGAGGUAAUGGCUCACCAAGGCGAAGACGGGUAGCUGGUCUGAGAGGAUGAUCAGCCACACUGGAACUGAGACACGGUCCAGACUCCUACGGGAGGCAGCAGUGGGGAAUAUUGCGCAAUGGGCGAAAGCCUGACGCAGCCACGCCGCGUGAGCGAUGAAGGUCUUCGGAUCGUAAAAGCUCUGUGGUGGGAGAAGAAGAAAGUCGGUGAAGAGCCGGCCCUGACGGUAUCCCCUUAGCAAGCACCGGGCUAACUCCGUGCCAGCAGCCGCGGUAAUACGGAGGGUGCAAACGUUGCUCGGAAUCAUUGGGCGUAAAGCGCGCGUAGGCGGCUGAACAAGUUGGAUGUGAAAGCCCUGGGCUCAACCUAGGAUGUGCAUUCAAAAACUGUUCGGCUUGAGUCUCGGAGGGGGUCAGAGAAUUCUCGGUGUAGAGGUGAAAUUCGUAGAUAUCGGGAGGAACACCAGUGGCGAAGGCGCUGACCU
rnacentral:rRNA from 1 species